rnacentral:lncRNA from 1 species
UAUUCCACAUCUCAGGUAAACAGUAUCAAUUAUCAAAACCUUCUGUAGGAUGAGCAGGUUUUUUUUUUCAACAUGCAAUAACCAGGUAUUCAUCUGUGAAGUAGUAUAGAGUUGAGCUUAUACUGUCAUGGUAAAUAGCAGAUGUCCGAGGCAUGAUUUGGUGUAAGAGCGCCAUCAAGGUGUCUGAGGCUGGGCACCAUGGCUGUUUGGGGCUGGACAACACGUUCAAGCCUCUCCAUUUCCCGCAUCAGUUACCUACCCUCCC